rnacentral:rRNA from 1 species
AGAACGAACGCUGGCGGCAUGCCUAACACAUGCAAGUCGAACGAGACCUUCGGGUCUAGUGGCGCACGGGUGCGUAACGCGUGGGAAUCUGCCCUUAGGUACGGAAUAACUCAGGGAAACUUGUGCUAAUACCGUAUGAUGUCUUCGGACCAAAGAUUUAUCGCCUAGGGAUGAGCCCGCGUUGGAUUAGCUAGUUGGUGGGGUAAAGGCCUACCAAGGCGACGAUCCAUAGCUGGUCUGAGAGGAUGAUCAGCCACACUGGGACUGAGACACGGCCCAGACUCCGUACGGGAGGCAGCAGGUGGGGAAUAUUGGACAAUGGGCGAAAGCCGUGAUCCAGCAAUGCCGCGUGAGUGAAGAGGCCGUUAGGUAGUAAGCUUCGUUUACCGGGAA